GCAGGGAAGGCCUCGCUCCUCACUCCACGGGACCAACACCCUUCCAUGGGGAGACCAGAAGAGACCCAAGAAGUCUCCCAGUCAGGUGCCUGGAGAACCUGAGCCCCAGAGCUGAGCAAGCCGCAGCAUGAGCCCAAGAAAAACACACCAGACCCCAGAGGCAGAUCGCCCAGGCUCAGAAGCUACAUUCAAUGGAGAGAACAGCCACCCAGCCCUCGAAGUGCUCAGCUCUGAGCAGCCAUACCCUCAUAGGGGAGCAUUCUCACCUCAGGCUACCUGCUCUGGGUGACGUCACACCUCCAGGGAUGAUCCAGCCAAGCGCCGCCAGGCAGGCACUAAACACAGAGUUCAGAGUCCAUUGGAAAGGUGGCCGAGCAUGAUCAGCAUGAACAGCCUAAGAUGGAGUCCAGGCCCUAUGAAUUCCUUCUUCAGACCUAAAUAUAUGUGGGGGUGUUGCUUCCUUAAUAGGAGUUUAUGUCUCACUUGCCUGUCAGUUUCAAGCAAGUGUCCAGGAAGUGAACAGCAUCCUCCACACCAUGAUUCAAGGCCCCAGGAUCAUUAUUUCUGCGGCUCUACCAUCUCUUACAGCCUUUGGUCAUCUUCAUACAGCUGAUGAAAGGACAAAGAAUCUGACCCUUGAAGCGACAUCUCUCUCUUCCAUUCACAUUCUACUAUUUUGAAUCUAUUUUGUUAGUCACAAAAAAAAGCUAGUCACACAGUCAUGCUUAGGUGCAUGGAAUAGGGGUAGGGAAAUGGGGAUAUAGCUGGAAAAUGUUCCUGGAUGGGCUUUCCAGAUACUGCUCUUUGCAAUGGCUGUGGGAGGGUGGGUUUUGGUGGGCAGCCAGCCCCCUCUGCCAUACACAGCUUUAGCUUAGGUGUGGUUGAGCUAGUGAUAAAAUCACUGUGGUUUUAGAGCAAAUAAUGAGUCCCCCAAGGGAACAAGAACAAGUUGAGCAGGAGCCCCCAUUCUGAGUCUGGCCUCAUACUCAGACACACUGUAGGAGACCACCAAGUGAGCAGUGAGGCCCCAGCCUCUAGGAACCACCAGAUAUAUUGGAACUCUAAUGCAUGAGAUCAGCAGUCACCAGCCCAAGGCAGGAGAUAAUCAAAUGCUGAGUGGUGCCUGGCACAAAGAUGAGAGUGUAAAUUUUGGGAGAAAAGGAACUGUUUCUGUAUGUUCCUGGCUGACUCUUCUGUGCCCGGCACAAGGACUGGCAUGGAGCCCCACCUCAGAAGACCUCCGCUGGCUCAAAUUAAACUGCCUGGAGGAGACAGGGCAGAAAAGGGGGAAAGGG
ensembl:lncRNA